CACAAACUAUAUUUUAUAUAUGCUCAAGAAUUUGCCAGAGAGGUCAGAAGGUCAAUAUAGCUCUCAAGUAUUGCGUGGUCUGCCUUCCAAGCUCUUAAUGCUUACAUUGUGACCUCUCACAGUCACUUGCAUUCAUUCAUUUCAUCUCCCCAACCCCUCCACUUCUCCAUCCUCUCUCUCCAACCUUGUGCUAGUGCCAUAGAUUAUACAGUCUCUCGCUCUCCUUUCCUUGCUUGUCUACAAGUUAUCUUCUUGCAAGUGCUUUAAUUAAGGUAGUGGCUGGCCAUGAUGACGAUGGGACUGGGGAGCUUGGUGAUGAACUUGAAAUCGAAAAUAAGAAGUUUGAAGAUGAAGAAACCUUAUGAUAAGAUUGAGAAGAGUGAUAGCAUGAGAGUUGAAAUAAGAAGCAGGAAGGCCAGGAAGCUCGUUGAAGAGACAUUGAAGAUCGCUGAUUCUCCAAAGACCAAGACGUAUGCUUUCUGAUCAGUACUACUGUUCUUGAUCAUGAUCAUCUCAGAUCCCGCAAGUAAUUAGAGGGAAGACAUCUCGUAGUUGUGUCAUGUUCUGAUGUUUCUUUCAUUUCCUUCUUGAUUAAGCAUGUUCUUAUUAUAGAAGAUGAUACAAGAAGGUUGUCUUUAAAUUUGUUAGGGGCAUGCGUUACUCUUAUUUUCUUCUUCA